UACGUAGGUGGCAAGCGUUGUCCGGAUUUACUGGGCGUAAAGGGAGCGUAGGUGGAUAUUUAAGUGGGAUGUGAAAUACUCGGGCUUAACCUGAGUGCUGCAUUCCAAACUGAAUAUCUAGAGUGCAGGAGAGGAAAGUAGAAUUCCUAGUGUAGCGGUGAAAUGCGUAGAGAUUAGGAAGAAUACCAGUGGCGAAGGCGACUUCUGGACUGUAACUGACACUGAGGCUCGAAAGCGUGGGGAGCAAACAGG
rnacentral:rRNA from 1 species